GACCAUUUAGGUGGCCGAGUGGUUAGAGUGUCUGCCUCCGAAUCAGGAAGUCGCGGGUUCGAACCCCGUCCGAGUCA